GACUUCUAGGAGAGGAAGAAAAUAGAAUUAUGGAUCAUGGUGUAAUACACAGCUGGAGAAGAGAUGAAACAGAUGGAAUCGGGCUAUAUUAUCUACUAAGCUUUUUAAAAUGUAUUUUUGAGAAGAAAUGUUCCAAGUAUACUAGACUAGCUUUCUUUGGCCAGUAUUUUUGUGAGUUGCAUUGAAAUGGGAGUGAGAAGAACUAUGAUAAAUGGGUUUACCAACUGACUAGCACAAGUCUAGUUGGAAAGAUAAAAGGGUGGCAUGGGAAUUAUGCUUCAUAAAAGGACUGACACUGAAAAAAAUAUAGUACAAAUGAAGACAUUACUCUACUUCGGGAGCUCUGAAGAAGGAUAAUUACUGCUGCUCUUCAUGUUAGAGAUUUUCAAUGAGAUGAUUCAAAAGAAACAGAAUAAAAUGAGCGAGGGUAUGCCAGCAAUUGCCUUGUACAAGAACUGGCAGGAAGCCUCCUCUCAAAGUGCUGCAUUUUUUGAGAGGAGCUCAAGUGCCCUAGUGGUGACCAGGAUGGAUAGGAACAUUAUUGUUGGAAACUCCGGAGUUAUCAUUACGAAGUUUGGUCAGAGCUAGCACGGUGUGUAUUCGGAGUGUGAUCCUCUUCCCAUUUAAGCAAUAAAAGCCUGAAGCCAGCAGCCUUACACAAAGGUAAAUCCAACACAACUGAGGGGAGCACUGACUUCCAGCUGCUUGGGCUCCAGGUUCUGAGGGUGAUUUAUUUUCAUCACAAACUGUCAGUUUCUGCUGAGCUUUUCACUGACCCCCUAAAGGUAUAAUUUGUUUGCAUUUCCUGUGAUCAAAUCCAUCCUUCAUCUUAUUGUCAGUCAUUCUCUCACAGAAUUAACUGAAGAUUGCUUUUCUUUAAUGAUGUCUUACCAUAUAGAUAAACCAUAAAGGGUUUCUUUGCCUGGAGGACAUGAAGUGUUGCUAAUUUAAACUGAUUUAUGAAGCGUCUUUUGAUGCUUUCACUGAGCAGCACACUAAAGCCACUUUUCAAAAACAUAAAAUCCAAGAGUUCAGUGUUCCCCACUCUUUUCAGAGUGGCAAAAUUUGUGCCCGCACAGUCCUAGAAGUGUCAUGUACCCCUGAAACAAUCAUUGAAGGGGUUAUAUCAUAACUAGUUUUAACAGCUCCCUGAUAACACUGCAAUUGUGCAAAAAACACAAAACCUUGGAGUGUCUGGGGUAAAUGAGUGUCCAGGGCAAAGCUAACAAGACAUACAAACCCGUAUUUCAUUUUGCAAAUUUUCUUCACAAAACUGACCUAAGGCUAGAGUAAGGCGAGGUCUCUACACAACUCUGAAGGGGCUUUGGUAUAACAGAAAGCAGAAGAGAUUUGUAUUAUGUUCUUAGAGCUUAAGUGGGUUGUUGCAAAGAGGAUUUGACAAAUCUAAGGGCUGAAUUGCUGACAGGUGAGGUGGGGUAGCUGUUAAUGCCUUCAGACUGCCUGAAAAGGCUGAUCUCUGAAUGGGCAAAAACAGUCAGGUAUUUGCGGACUGAAGCUUCUCUGGCCUGGCUGCCACUUUGUCUGCUGUCAAAUGCUUCCACUUGAACAACUUUCCUAAAGCAAUGAGCAGUAAAUUGGACCACAAACAGCACCUCCAUUAGAUCCUGAGCCUUCUCCCAAAGUCACCUGAAGUCUAUAGGACUCUUUAGUGGUUCCUGAAAUCAGAUUCUACUUACUGGGUCUAAGUGAAGCUGCCUGGACUGGCUGUCUGUCUUAACCUUCUCCAAAGAAGGAAUAUUUCCAAGUCAAAUCUUGCAUCAAAUGAAGUCUAGGGGAAAGCUGAUAAAAGCAACUAGGCAUUCACCACAUAGGAUCUGGAGAGGAGGGAGACAGCUCUGCCUUUAAAAUCUCUUCCUGCUUAAAAAGUGAUUCUCUGUGUCUUAAAUAGCACAUCUUCAACUCAGCAUUUGUCCCUGAGAAAUCUGUUCGAUGGUGUAUAAUUAAACAGCACAAAAUACAGAUGUAA